rnacentral:rRNA from 1 species
AUUGAACGCUGGCGGCAGGUCUAACACAUGCAAGUCGAGCGGUAGAGAGGUGCUUGCAUCUCUUGAGAGCGGCGGACGGGUGAGUAAUGCCUAGGAAUCUGCCUAGUGGUGGGGGAUAACGUUCGGAAACGGACGCUAAUACCGCAUACGUCCUACGGGAGAAAGCGGGGGGAUCUUCGGACCUCGCGCGAUUGGAGCGGCCGAUAUCAGAUUAGGUAGUUGGUGGGGUAAAGGCUCACCAAGCCAACGAUCUGUAGCUGGUCUGAGAGGACGACCAGCCACACUGGAACUGAGACACGGUCCAGACUCCUACGGGAGGCAGCAGUGGGGAAUUUUGGACAAUGGACGCAAGUCUGAUCCAGCCAUUCCGCGUGCAGGAUGAAGGCCCUCGGGUUGUAAACUGCUUUUGUACGGAACGAAAGGUUUCUAUUAAUACUAGGAGCUCAUGACGGUACCGUAAGAAUAAGCACCGGCUAACUACGUGCCAGCAGCCGACGG